rnacentral:tRNA from 1 species
GCCCCAGUGGCUCAGUUGGUAGAGCGGCUGCCUCGUAAGCAGCAGGUCGGGAGUUCGAUCCUCCCCUGGGGCUCCA